rnacentral:tRNA from 1 species
GGGGUUGUGGCUCAGCGGUAGAGUGCUUGCCUCGCAAGUGCGAGAGACCCUGGGUUCGAUCCUCAGCACCA